CCCUUAGAUGUUCUGGGCUGCACGCGCGCUACACUGAAGCGUUCAACGAGUAUUCACCUUGCCCGGGAGGGUUGGGUAAUCUUUUGAAAACGCUUCGUGAUGGGGAUAGAUUAUUGCAAUUAUUAAUCUUCAACGAGGAAUUCCUAGUAAACGCAAGUCAUCAACUUGCAUUGAUUACGUCCCUGCCCUUUGUACACACCGCCCGUCGCACCUACCGAUUGAAUGGUCCGGUGAAGCCUCCGGAUUGGCGCGCACCUCGGUGCCGCCGAGAAGUUGGCUAAACCUUACCAUUUAGAGGAAGGUGAAGUCGUANCA
rnacentral:rRNA from 1 species